AAAGUUUUGAAGGCUGAUCUUCUACUUAAAAUUGCUGUUCCUUCGUCGGGGCCAUCGUGAUCACUGUAACCGCCAGGUAAGGUGAAACCUGCCGCAAAAGUUAUCGUUGCUAUGAGGGUGGCUACUAUCUGAUGCGAUUGACUGGUUUUCUCGAGUUCAGUGAUGAACUCAUUGUCGAGUCUUGACAUGUUAUCACGUUCUGCGAGCUGGAUAAUUGAAGGCCGACCAGGUUUAUAUCCAACCUUCUUUAGUUUUCUUUUUGUCCAUCCCAGAAAUGGCAUAUUGCUUUCAUCCUUCGUUUUUACCACUACGUCCAGAGCAGUUAAAUUUUCACUAUUGAUGGCCUUUUUAUCAACUAGGUGGUGCUCUGUAAGACAACACUCUGAAAAGCCAUUAGUAGCAAGCAGAUGGGCCGGAGUGUUCCCAUCUUUAUCUUUCUGAUUUAUUAGGUUAGCCAGGAAAGGUUUUUCAGUAAUAGUCUUCACUCCUUCAAAACUCCUGCUUUCCACAGCAAAAUGGAGAACAUUUCGGCCUCUAUUGUCAACCAGGUCGCAGCAAUCUGGGCAGUCUGACAUAAUUUUUUCCACCACCAUUAAAUGGCUUUUGCCGCAGGUAAUUGCAAUAUGAAGAGGUGUCUUUCCAUCAUUAUCGCCAAUAUAUGCGGCAGAUUUAUUAUCACCUUCUAGUAACAUUUGCACAAUUGCAGGAAGAUUGAAGUAGGAAGCAUAAUGCAGCGGAGUCCAUCCUUCUUUGUCUUGGUCUCUGGUCAGACUGCUGUUUUUAUCGAGUAUUUUUCUUGUCAAAUCGGCAUCUCCACUAAUCACGGCUUCGUGCAAAGCUGUUCUAGCUUUGGGCCCGGUGUAUGCCGGUGAGAGACAUAUCUCCAAUAUCUUAGAAGCAGUGCUAUUGCUCUCUCUCACCGCUGCAAGGUAAAGCGGGCUUUCUCCGGCGGCAUUAGUUAUGUUCGCAAAUUCAGGAUUUUCUCUAAUCAAUAUUUCCACCACUUGAGGAUGAUUAUUUCUCACAGCCUCAUGUAAGGCUGAGUCUUCAUCUGUGCUUGUCUUCUUCAGCAUCUUAUCACUUGUUGAUACCUCUGCGCCUCUCUCAAGGUCUUCGUAUUGAGCCUUCUUGAUGCUAUGAAUAAGAAAUUCGACUAUAUUGUUGUGCCCGAACCUUGCUGCAAUGUGCAGCGGAGUUUCGCCUCUGAUAUUUGGUUCAGCUAGGAGUGAUGGACAUUUGCUGAUAACUAGUUUCACAAAUUCAAUGGAUUCUUCCGUUUCAUUUUGUACAGCUGUGAUAUAAACAUGUAGGACUGUAUUUUUGUUCGGGGUACGCAAAAGAUCUAGAGGGCCUGUGUAAUGUUUGAACAGGUUGAUUUGGCCUUCUGCUGCAGAAUUGUACCAUUUAGCAUCCAUGAAAGUGAUUAUGUCUUUCCGUUCGGGCUGAUCAUUGAUCUCAGACGCUAAUUGGGUUUCGGGCAAAGCUUGGGAAUCCGCCAUAUAUGUAUCUAGUUAGAGGUUGCUGGCAAAGCUGAGCAAUGAAAAGUACUGAACAGAAAAAUGCGUUUGAAGCUAGAUUUUUGUAACACCCUUAUCCCUAUUGAAAAAUCAUUCUUCCCUUGCUUUACAGGACCAUGGAGUCUAGCCAGUCGGAACAUCUAAAACUAUUAAGUUGAUACUCAACAUCUAUCUUACAUCACCUGCAAAACUGGACGGAAGACAAAACUAUUGC
rnacentral:misc_RNA from 1 species